GGGAUGCUCAGCCGGCAGGGGUGUUGCUCUGGCUGAAAAGCGGAAGGUCGGCGGUUCGACCCCGCCCCUGCCCA
rnacentral:tRNA from 1 species